AUUGAACGCUGGCGGCAGGCCUAACACAUGCAAGUCGAGCGGGGUUUUCGGACCUAGCGGCGGACGGGUGAGUAAUGCGUAGGAAGCUGCCCGAUAGAGGGGGAUACCAGUUGGAAACGACUGUUAAUACCGCAUAAUGUCUACGGACCAAAGUGUGGGACCUUCGGGCCACAUGCUAUCGGAUGCGCCUACGUGGGAUUAGCUAGUUGGUGAGGUAAUGGCUCACCAAGGCGACGAUCUCUAGCUGGUUUGAGAGGAUGAUCAGCCACACUGGAACUGAGACACGUUCCAGACUCCUACGGGAGGCAGCAGUGGGGAAUAUUGGACAAUGGGCGCAAGCCUGAUUCAGCCAUGCCGCGUGUGUGAAGAAGGCCUUCGGGUUGUAAAGCACUUUCAGCGAGGAGGAAGGGUGGUGUGUUAAUAGCACAUCAUUUUGACGUUACUCGCAGAAGAAGCACCGGCUAACUCUGUGCCAGCCGCCGCGGUAAGAC
rnacentral:rRNA from 1 species